GUGGCACAAGGCCCCUCUUGAGAAGACAGCCCAUGAGACCUAGCUGGGGCCUGAGAACAUGAAUCAACUGAUGAGACAGCUGCAGAGAAAAGAUCCAAGUGCUCUUUUCGUUUUCUGUGAUUUUAUUGCUCCUGGCUACUCCAUCAUCAUUAAACACCCAAUGGAUCUCAGCAACAUGAAAGAAGAGAUCAAGAACAGUGAAGAACUAACGGAUAACUUCAAACCAAUAUGUACUAAUGCCAUGAUUUACAACAAACCAGAGACCACUUAUUAUAAAGCUGCAAAGAAGCUGUUACACUCAGAGAUGAAAAUUUUUAGCCAGGAAAAAAUUCAGAGCCUGAAGCAGACCACAGACUUCAUGGCUAACUUGAAAAAACUUGAAAGCAGAAAGACAGAACAGACAUCUCACAGAGUGGGGAGGAUGGAGGCUGCUGGCUGAGAGAGAGAGAGAGAGAGAGAGGACUCUGGAGAUGCCGAAGCACAAGCCUUCAAGAGUCCCAGCAAAGAAAAUAAAAAGAAAGACAAAGAUAUGCUUUUAAGUUUAAAAGCAGUAAUUUAGAGAGACAGUAGGAGCAGCUUGACUGCAUCAUGAAGGAAUCUGGAGGAAAACUGACCAGGUGGCUUGUUAACAGUCAGUGGGAAUUUGAAAGAAGAAAACCAGAUGGAACAAGAAGACUGGGACUUCCCCAUCCUGUGGAUCCCAUUGUAGGAGAGCCAGAAUACUGCCCUAUGAGACUGGGAAUGACAACUGGAAGACUUCAGUCUGGAGUGAAUAUUCUGCAGGGGUUCAAAGAGGAUAAAAGGAACAAAGUAACUCCAGGGUUAUAUUUGAAUUAUGGACCCUGGAGUUCUUAUGUACCGCAUUAUGACUCCACAUUUAUGAAUAUCAGCAAGGAUAAUUCAGAUUUAAUCUAUGCAAUCUAUGGGGGAAGACUGAUCUUCCAAGCAAUUUCAGCAACCAUGAGUUUCUGGCCCCAUGCCAAGAUUACCCAUAUGUUAAGACAGAUAGUUUGCUGGAUGUUUUAACAAAAGGAGGGGAUUCCAGGGCCCUAUAAGAGUUGGAGAUAUCACCUGACGAUGAAGGCCAUACUAGGACACUUGACACAGCAAAACAAAUGGAGAUUACACAAGUAGAGCCAGCAGGACAUUUGGACUCUAAUACUCAAGAUAGGCUCAUGGCACUGAAAGCAGUAACAAACUUUGGCGCUCCGGUUGAAGUUUUUGACUCUUGAAGAAGCUGAAGUAUUCCAGAAGAAACCUGAUGAGACCAACAAAUUGCUCAGGGAGCUCCAGCUCAAUGAGCAUUUGAACACCUGACCCCUUCCCAAUAUGAUGUCUCUUGGAUCCCUCAUACAAAGAAAUGCAUCUUGCUGAACAGGUGACCAAUAAUCUUAAAGAACUUGUACAACAAGUAACUCCAGGUGAUAUCGUAAGCAUGUAUGGAGUUCAAAAAGCAAUGGGGAUUUCCAUUCCUUCCCCUGUCAUGGAAAACAACUUUGUAGAUUUAACAGAAGAUCUUGAAGAACCUAAAAAGACACGGAGUGGACCUAGUGGGAGUUGAGGCCACCUGGUAUUUGAUUAUGUAUUAUGUACAUACUUUUCCAUUCUUAACUUAAAAACGCUUUCACAAGAUAUCAAAUAUUUGUAAAUUGUGCUUUUAAUUAAACUUCGGAACAGUGAAAACAAACAAAAAACACCUUCCUGGAACUAAUUAUAGCAAGGUUACAGGAUACAAGGUUAACACACAAAAGUCAAUCAUUUUUCAGUAUGUCAACAAUGAACAAGUGGAAUAUAAAAAUUAAAAAAUUCACUACCAUCUAUAUAAGCAAUCAAAAAAUAAGAUAGGUAUAAAUCUAACAACAUAUGUUCAAGAUCUAUAUGAAGACAACUAUAAAACUCUUCUAAAAAUGUUCUAAGAAGAACUAAAUAAAUGAAUAGAUAUUCCAUGUUCAUGGAUAGGAAGACUCAAUAUUGUGAACAUGUUGGUUCUUUCCAAUUUGAUCUAUAGAUUCAACACAAUCCCAACCAAAAUCCUAGCUUAUUACUUAGUAGAUUCAAUGAACUGAUUCUAAGUUUAUAUGAAGAGGCAAAAGACCCAGAAUAUCCAUCACAAUACUAAAGGAAAAGAACAAAGUUGGAGUACUGACACUACCCAACUUCAAGACUUAUAAUAAGGCUACAGUAAUCAAAACAAUGUGGUAUUAGUGAUAAAAUAUAAAAUUAAUCAAUACAACAAAAUAGAGAGUCCAGAAAUAGGACACAUAAAUAUAGUCAACUGAUCUUUAACAAAGGAGCAAAUGCAAUACAGGGGAAAAAACAGCCCUUUCAACAAAUGGUGCUGAACAAUUGGACAUCCACAUGCAAAGAAAAAAAAAAGAAACUAGACACAGACCUUAUAUUUUUUACAAAAAUUAAUUCAAAAUGGAUCACAGACCUAAAACACAAAACUAUAAAACUCCAAAAAAAAAAAAAAA